rnacentral:rRNA from 1 species
ACGCCUAAUACAUGCAAGUCGAACGAAGUAGCAAUACUUAGUGGCAGACGGGUGAGUAACAUGUGGGUAUCUUCCCUUUGGUGAGGAAUAACACGAGGAAACUUGUGCUAAUACCUCAUAAGUCUUUACGGAGAAAGCUUUAUGCGCCAUUGGAUGAGCCCGCACUUGAUUAGUUUGUUGGUGGGGUAAUGGCCUACCAAGACUUUGAUCAAUAGCUGAUUUGAGAGGAUGAUCAGCCACAUUGGGACUGAGACACGGCCCAAACUCCUACGGGAGGCAGCAGUAGGGAAUCUUGCACAAUGGAGGAAACUCUGAUGCAGCGAUGCCGCGUGAGUGAAGAAGGCCUUUGGGUUGUAAAGCUCUUUCGUCGGGGAAGAAAAUGACUGUACCCGAAUAAGAAGGUCCGGCUAACUUCGUGCCAGCAGCCGCGGUAAUACGAAGGGACCUAGCGUAGUUCGGAAUUACUGGGCUUAAAGAGUUCGUAGGUGGUUAAAAAAGUUGGUGGUGAAAGCCCAGAGCUUAACUCUGGAACUGCCAUCAAAACUUUUUAGCUAGAGUAUGAUAGAGGAAAGCAGAAUUUCUAGUGUAGAGGUGAAAUUCGUAGAUAUUAGAAAGAAUACCAAUUGCGAAGGCAGCUUUCUGGAUCAUUACUGACACUGAGGAACGAAAGCAUGGGUAGCGAAGAGGAUUAGAUACCCUCGUAGUCCAUGCCGUAAACGAUGUGUGUUAGAUGUUGGAAAUUUAUUUUCAGUAUCGCAGCGAAAGCGAUAAACACACCGCCUGGGGAG